GUAACCGUAGGUUCCAAGUUUUUAGACUUUCGGCUCCUCCUCAAAUAUCCUUCGCCUUUAAACCCCACCUGCCAGUGGGCACCUAAUGCCUUGUCCAAAUAUAAAAACAAAAUAAAAUCCCAAAACUGACAGCCUCACUGGUGGCGUAAUCCUAGCUGUCAAAACUGAGCCAAGUUGUUAUUAUAAUAACACACGUUACUGGGCCGUGUCGUUUAUUUGCAGCGGUUUGAGCUACCAGUCUAUAAAAAAUAGUCUCUAUAGAAAUUGUCGGCCUAAUUAGAUCCCUGCGAGGAAGGGUUGCCAACUAUUACAAACCGAGUUGUCAAACUUCGUAAAAGUUAUCAAACUUCGGAUAUUCUCUGCGAUUUAGCCUUAAACGUUAAUCAUCAAGGAAUUAUCAAUUUCAUUCCGUCCGUGACUAUCCCCGAUAGUUGAAGUGCGCGUCGGGUAGUUAAAAAUCUUAAAGCUAGUUAAAACUUAAAACUAGUUAAAACUUAGAAGGCUAAUAGUACGGUUUUGUGAAUUAGUACGAUUUGUAGUACGGUUACUUCAAUAGAACCAUUCAACUAGAGGUUAAUUCGCCCUUAACAAAAGGAAUUCUCAAGAAAAGGUCCACUUCUGGGCCUUUUCUUUUCUACCUUCGGUGUAAAACCCGGAGGGCUCUAUUUCGUGUUCUCGCAGGACCGUCCACGUACAUCAGGUCGCUUUACGUUGGUUCGUCGGUCACGACCCACGCUAAGCCGUCGCCAUCUUGAAAGCCACGGACAAAAGGAAUCCAACAAUAGCCUAUUCACUGUGACGCCGGGUGGAACAAUAGACCGUCCCCGACUACGCCAUUUUGGGGAUUGGUUGCCCACCUACCCUACUGGAGUCAAGAAGCUCGUCGUAGUGUCCCAUCACACCCCGGCGGCCACCUCGAAUUGCCGAUUGCCCUGCCAACCCCGAAGAAAGUUGACCGCUAUCGACCGAGUAAAGGUCAUACGGUUGAAGGACCGUUAGAAGCCCCCCACAAUACCGGCUGAGGGCCCUCCGAUGCAUGCAUGCCACCGUGAACCACCAAGCUAGCCACCGAUCCGCACCACCGCUGUCUACGCCACCACCGUCUGCACCACCGCCGUCCACCGUUCCGAUGUAAAAGCGCAAGUACACCUUAUUAUUAAUGUCACCUUUCUCUCAUUAGGGUCCCAAUAUGGGCCGAAUAAAUGUAGAUGUAAGAUUGUAAAAUUGGUGGUUGAUUUCUACUAGAAAACCCCGCAUUUAACAUAUAUACGCCCUUUUUGAAUAUUGGUCGUUUCCCGUGCCCAAAAAGGGGGCUUUCAUACCUCGAUCUGGGUAGUCCGCUGGUUGAAAUACGAUUUUACCUUGUUUUGGUUAACUUUGAUCGCAUAACGUUGUUGGUUUCCUCCCCCUCAUACGGAUUUGACAGCUGACCACUAAAAUCCUGCUCCUGCUAAAGGUGAGUGACCAGUCGUGCUUAUGUAACGGUGCUAUUAGAAAUAAGCGACCCCGUGCUCGAAUACUUCCCACCCACUAUUUUCCCACUGAGCAGCCGAGGG